AUCCAGCUGACGAGUCCCAAAUAGGACGAAGUGUCGCGCUUCCUGGAU
rfam:Schistosoma mansoni strain Puerto Rico chromosome 6, complete genome